rnacentral:rRNA from 1 species
GAUCCUGGCUCAGGAUGAACGCUAGCGACAGGCCUAACACAUGCAAGUCGAGGGGCAGCACAAGGAGCAAUCUGAGGUGGCGACCGGCGCACGGGUGAGUAACACGUAUGCAACCUGGCUGUAAGAGGGGAAUAACCCGGAGAAAUCCGGACUAAUACCGCAUAAUACUUAGAAUCCGCAUGGUAUUUUAAGUUAAACAUUUAUGGCUUACAGAUGGGCAUGCGUAUGAUUAGCUGGUUGGAGAGGUAACGGCUCCCCAAGGCAACGAUCAUUAGGGGUUCUGAGAGGAAGGUCCCCCACACUGGUACUGAGACACGGACCAGACUCCUACGGGAGGCAGCAGUGAGGAAUAUUGGUCAAUGGACGCAAGUCUGAACCAGACCCAAGUCGCGUGAAGGAAGAAUGUCCUAUGGAUUAGUAAACUUCUUUGGAAGGGGAAUAAAGUACGGUACGUGUUACCGUUUUGUAUGUACCCUUCGAAUAAGGAUCGGCUAACUCCGUGCCAGCAGCAGC